rnacentral:rRNA from 1 species
ACUCAAAGGAAUUGACGGGGGCCCGCACAAGCGGUGGAUCAUGUGGUUUAAUUCGAAGCAACGCGAAGAACCUUACCUGGACUUGACAUCCUUUGAAUUUGCUAGAGAUAGCAACGGCUCGCAAGAGACAAAGAGACAGGUGCUGCAUGGCUGUCGUCAGCUCGUGUUGUGAAAUGUUGGGUUAAGUCCCGCAACGAGCGCAACCCCUGUGCUUGGUUGCCAUCAUUAAGUUGGGCACUCCAAGCAGACUGCCGUCGUCAAGACGGAGGAAGGUGGGGAUGACGUCAAGUCCUCAUGGCCUUUAUGUCCAGGGCGACACACGUGAUACAAUGGUUGGUACAGAGGGCAGCGAAGUGGCGACACGAAGCAAAUCCCAAAAAGCCAAUCUCAGUUCGGAUUGGAGUCUGCAACUCGACUCCAUGAAGUUGGAAUCGCUAGUAAUCGCGGAUCAGAACGCCGCGGUGAAUACGUUCCCGGGCCUUGUACACACCGCCCGU